rnacentral:rRNA from 1 species
GACGAACGCUGGCGGCGUGCUUAACACAUGCAAGUCGAACGGAAAGGCCUCUUUCGGGGGGUACUCGAGUGGCGAACGGGUGAGUAACACGUGUGUAACCUGCCCUUGACUUUGGGAUAACUUCAGGAAACUGGGGCUAAUACCGGAUAGGAGCUCCUGCUGCAUGGUGGGGGUUGGAAAGUUUCGGCGGUUGGGGAUGGACUCGCGGCUUAUCAGCUUGUUGGUGGGGUAGUGGCUUACCAAGGCUUUGACGGGUAGCCGGCCUGAGAGGGUGACCGGCCACAUUGGGACUGAGAUACGGCCCAGACUCCUACGGGAGGCAGCAGUGGGGAAUAUUGCACAAUGGGUGGAAGCCUGAUGCAGCAACGCCGUGUGCGGGAUGACGGCCUUCGGGUUGUAAACCGCUUUCGCUCAUGACGAAGCUUUGUGUGACGGUAGUGGGUAAAGAAGCACCGGCUAACUACGUG